GACGAACGCUGGCGGCGUGCUUAACACAUGCAAGUCGAACGGAAAGGCCCUGCUUUUGUGGGUUGCUCGAUUGGCGAACGGGUGAGUAACACGUGUGUAACCUGCCCUUGACUUUGGGAUAACUUCAGGAAACUUGGGCUAAUACCGGAUAGGAGCUCCUGCUGCAUGGUGGGGGUUGGUAAGUUUCGGCGGUUGGGGAUGGACUCGCGGCUUAUCAGCUUGUUGGUGGGGUAGUGGCUUACCAAGGCUUUGACGGGUAGCCGGCCUGAGAGGGUGACCGGCCACAUGGGGACUGAGAUACGGCACAGAAGGCAACGGGAGGCAGCAGGGGGGAAUAUUGCACAAUGGGCGGAAGCCAGAUGCAGCAAAGCAGGGUGCGGGAAGACGGGCUUCGGGUUGUAAAAAGAUUUAGACUGUGACGAAGAGUGAGUGACGGUAAUGGGUAAAGAAGCACCGGCUAACUACGUG
rnacentral:rRNA from 1 species